CAUGCAAGUCGAACGGAGUUACUUUAGUGAAGUUUUCGGAUGGAUCUGAUUUAACUUAGUGGCGGACGGGUGAGUAAUGCGUGAGCAACCUGCCCUUCAGAGGGGGACAACAGUUGGAAACGACUGCUAAUACCGCAUAAUGUAUUCGGAAGGCAUCUUCUGGAUACCAAAGGAGAAAUCCGCUGAUGGAUGGGCUCACGUCUGAUUAGCUAGUUGGUGAGGUAACGGCUCACCAAGGCUGCGAUCAGUAGCCGGACUGAGAGGUUGAACGGCCACAUUGGGACUGAGAUACGGCCCAGACUCCUACGGGAGGCAGCAGUGGGGAAUAUUGGGCAAUGGGCGAAAGCCUGACCCAGCAACGCCGCGUGAAGGAAGAAGGCCUUCGGGUUGUAAACUUCUUUUAAGAGGGACGAAGAAGUGACGGUACCUCUUGAAUAAGCCACGGCUAACUACGUGCCAGCAGCCGCGGUAAUACGUAGGUGGCGAGCGUUAUCCGGAUUUACUGGGUGUAAAGGGCGCGUAGGCGGGAAUGCAAGUCAGAUGUGAAAUCCAAGGGCUCAACCCUUGAACUGCAUUUGAAACUGUAUUUCUUGAGUGUCGGAGAGGUUGACGGAAUUCCUAGUGUAGCGGUGAAAUGCGUAGAUAUUAGGAGGAACACCAGUGGCGAAGGCGGUCAACUGGACGAUAACUGACGCUGAGG
rnacentral:rRNA from 1 species